rnacentral:rRNA from 1 species
UACGUAGGGUGCAAGCGUUAAUCGGAAUUACUGGGCGUAAAGAGUGCGCAGGCGGCUCUUUAAGACAGGUGUGAAAUCCCCGAGCUCAACUUGGGAAUUGCGCUUGUGACUGGAGAGCUAGAGUGCGGAAGAGGGGGAUAGAAUUCCUGGUGUAGCAGUGAAAUGCGUAGAUAUCAGGAGGAAUACCGAUGGCGAAGGCAGUCCCCUGGGCCAGCACUGACGCUCAUGCACGAAAGCGUGGGGAGCAAACAGG